GUGCUUGCUUCAGCACCACAUAGAUGAAAACUGGAAUGAAACAGAGAAGGCUGGCAUGACCCUGCACAAGGAUGACACGCAGAUUUGUGAGGAGCGCUUAAUACAU